CAACACCCAGAUCAGUUCCGCCACGUAACCAACGUCUCCUUCCUUCCGAAGUAAAAGCAGGCAGAGGAAAUCUUCCCCCCUCCCUCUCUCUCCCUCCCUCGUCGCUGCUCCUCUCCAAAUCCCCUGAACCCCGCGCGCACGCUCCCCGGAGGAGACAUGUCGUACGCCUACCUCUUCAAGUACAUCAUCAUCGGCGACACAGGUGUCGGCAAGUCGUGCCUGCUGCUGCAGUUCACCGACAAACGCUUCCAGCCCGUCCAUGACCUCACCAUCGGCGUCGAGUUCGGCGCCCGGAUGAUCACCGUCGACAACAAGCCCAUCAAGCUCCAGAUUUGGGACACGGCAGGCCAAGAAUCAUUCAGAUCGAUAACUAGAUCAUACUACAGGGGAGCCGCUGGUGCUCUUUUGGUUUACGACAUCACCAGGAGGGAAACGUUUAAUCAUCUUGCAAGCUGGCUGGAAGAUGCAAGGCAACACGCAAAUGCUAACAUGACGAUCAUGCUAGUUGGAAACAAGUGUGACCUAUCUCAUAGACGUGCUGUGAGCUUCGAGGAAGGUGAGCAGUUCGCCAAGGAGAAUGGUCUCAUCUUCAUGGAGGCAUCUGCAAAAACUGCACAAAACGUCGAGGAGGGCUUUGUCAAGACUGCUGGAGCAAUAUAUAAGAAAAUUCAGGAUGGUGUCUUUGAUGUAUCUAAUGAGUCGUAUGGAAUCAAAGUUGGCUAUGCAGUUCCUGGCCAAGCUGGAGGUGGUGGUGCCUCAUCUUCCCAAGGUGGCAGCUGCUGCGGUUAAUGGAACGUUCCAUGAUGAAUGAUGUACAGAAUUGCAUGGCAUGUGUUACAAUACCUGUUGCAUUAUUUCGAGUCGCCGAGUGAUUGUAACUCCAGGGUGCUUUGUUAUUUCACGCACCUAUGGAUUAUGUUCCAGUGAGCUAGUCAAAAUAGGUUCAGUUCAUUUCCUUAUACUGUACAAUCACUGUAAUCCAUCAGACGCUUCCAGUGGUGUCAUUUAGGAUUCACGAACUAUAUCCAUUUGCAUGUGUGAUUAAAUAAGAAUGUAUGAUUCAAAUUGUA